GACAGAGGUGCCAAGCGUUAGGCGGAAUCACUGGGCUUAAAGCGUGUGUAGGCGGAACGUUAAGUGCCUUGUGAAAUCCCACGGCUUAACCGUGGAACUGCUGGGCAUACUGGCGUUCUUGAGCCAGCCAGGGGUCGUCGGAACAAACGGUGGAGCGGUGAAAUGCGUAGAUAUCGUUUGGAACGCCAACGGUGAAAACAGACAGCUGGGGGUGUCCUGACGCUGAGACGCGAAAGCCAGGGGAGCGAACGGG
rnacentral:rRNA from 1 species